rnacentral:rRNA from 1 species
UGAGUAGGCGGUUACAUAUGUCAGAUGUAAAAGGCACAGGCUUAACUUGUGUUAGCAUUUGAAACUGUGUGACUUGAGUGCAGGAGAGGUAAGUGGAAUUCCUGGUGUAGCGGUGAAAUGCGUAGAUAUUAGGAGGAACACCAGUGGCGAAGGCGACUUACUGGACUGUAACUGACGCUGAGUCACGAAAGCGUGGGUAGCAAACA